GGUGUUGUAGCUCAGUGGUAGGGCGCUUACCUUGCACGCUUGAGGCCCUGGGUUUAGUUCCCAGCAUCACAU
rnacentral:tRNA from 1 species